CACACACACACACACACACACACACACACACACACACACACACACACACACACACACACAAUAUACACCACAUACAACACACUCCACAUACACACACACACACACACACACACACACACACACACACCAUACACACCACACACAAUACACACCACACACCACACACCAUACACUCUUCACCACAUAUACACACACGACUGCCACUGUUGGAAACUGGGCCAGCACUGCCCCAAGAGGAACCAGAGACCCUGUACAGGCAAACACACACACUCACACAUACACAUCUACAUCUCACACAGACUGCUACACAUCACACUGAUGCACUUGCACAGGUAAACACAUACUGAUACAAAAACAUGGACAUACUACACAGAUAUAUAUGAUUAAAUGUUUUGGACCUGAUGAAUGACACAUCACAUAUCGCAAGGCCCACAAUAUAGGUUCAAUGAUACAUCACAUAUCACAAGGCCCAAAAUAUAGGUUCAAUGAUACAUCUCAUAUCACAAGGCCCACAAUAUAGGUUCAAUGAUACAUCACAUAUCACAAGGCCCACAAUAUAGGUUCAAUGAUAUAUCACAUGUCGCAAGGCCCACAAUAUUUUCUAUGUAUAUAAACGAUGUAUGGAUGUGUUGUGGACAUGUAACAGUAUACGUUUCCUGCAUAACUGUAUUAAUUCUGCUUUUGUAAAACGGUGCACCUCUGCUACUGUAGAUUGUAGGUCAUGUUGAGCCAAUGCUAACCCAUAAAAACAUCAGUAACUUUGACAAACAUCCGCUCUAUAUUUUCUCUAUUGAAUAAAUAACUUUGUUAGCCUCGCUCAUCUACUUUUUAUUGAUAUUCUCACCAGUUAUCCCUGCUGGCAAAACAUAUUACUGUAUGCUCAAUAACCGGUUCUGCUCAUGUGGUUACAUACAUUUAGAAAUUAUUAGCAAACUCCCCAGUGGAUUAAAGUGGAUAAAAGGUAGUGAGAGCUUGGGGCAGCAGCGUAGACAGGGAUAACUGUGUGGCUGUGCAUAAGUAAAAGUGGCUGGGCUAACAUUUCCCGGCAAAAAUACCUGACAUAUUUAAGUGAAAAUUUGUGCAUCACAUUGGAUUAUUUAAAACAUAAUACAGGAUAAAUGUAACCAAAAAAUACCACAGUGCGAACUACGCAACCGCUUACUUCAACACUGCUGACAAAGCAGGCUGACUGUCUGAGUCCGACAGUAAGGAAACAUAAUGAAAUACACAACAUGUCUAUAACCUACAUACUCAGAGAGAGAGAAACAAACAAAGAAACAAACAAAAAAAGAUGAAAGAUUUUACAGCAGCAGACAAGUGAUAAAAUUGGAAAAAUGUUACUGUCACAAAAUACAGAUAAUGGAUGAAGUGUUCAGUCCGACAGUCCGACCUCAUGAAAUAAUCAACAUAUAUUAUUCGACCAGAUCGGCCAUUCCCAGUUAAAGAAGCUACAGUACAGAACCACAGGUAGAUUUAGGACCAUUGGAGGACCGCUGGACAUCAGCUCGCCACUGGAUUGGAAUAUGCACAAACAGCUUAUUGCACAAAGAAGCAAGGAAAAAUAGAAUUAAGCCCAAAAGUGCACACUGUUUACCAUAUUAAAACCGUGACACACACAAUACAAUACCAACACUUUAGGCCUAUAUCUUGAACUGUACGGCGGGUAUGAAAUUAAUAGCUCACUUUAAAUGAGCAAACGUUACUGUAUAGGCAUGAAAAUAUGAAAUGAUCAUACAUAGCCUAAUAUCAUGGCGGGUAUGAAUACAGAAGCUCACUUUGAAUCAAACACAUAUAGGCCUACCAGGGUAGACAUUAAAACAUUAGGCUACAUCUUAUGAAUAGUAAAUAUUCAGGUGUAACCUUUCUUGUGUGUUUCACGUUUUAAAGCACACGGCCUAGACGCCUAGGAUUGGUGUUGAAGAUGGAGAUUAUUGCAUCAUAGUCACUGAAUUCCCUUUCAAAGAACAACUGGGCUAGAUUGUUGAGACGAUCUGAUUGAUGUCUUGAUACGUCCUGUAGUGGAGAAGAGUCUCUCAACAGUACGUAAAGUCACUGGAAGGGUGAUGAUGGUCCUUAGUAGUCUAUUGACAAUGUCCAGGGAUUUGAAUUCCUGACCUCCCCCCAACCUUCCGACGCAGUUGCUGAAUAAACACGGUUAAUUCAGCAUUCUCAUCAGAGACAUGAUAGUGAUUGCAUGGUUCCAGCAGUGAUUCUUUCAGUAAUCCUAGACGCUGGCAGAAAGGCUGCUGCUGCUCUCAUUAUUCCAUAUGGAUCCUCCUGGAACCAGAUGUGCAGCUCAGUCAGACAGAUAGAGACAUAUAUAAGGAUUGGAAGCACCCCAAUUAGAUCCCAGGAACCGCCUGCAUUUUUCUACAUUUCCGAUUAGUCAGGAGACAAUACAAACGACAAAUCAAAUUCAUUUAUUUCAUUUGAUAUUGUCACGUCCUGACCAAUAUUUAGGUAUUAUUUCUAUUAUAUUUGGUCAGGACGUGGCAGAGGUAUAUUUGUUUUGUAUUAUGGGGUUUUGUGUGUGGUGUAGUGGGGUGUAUUAGUUUGGUAUAGGUUCUAGGUUUGUUUUUCUAUGUGUAGUUUUGGGUGCUGGACUCUCAAUUGGAGGCAGGUGUUUCUAGUUGCCUCUGAUUGGGAGUCCCAUAAGUAGG
rnacentral:lncRNA from 1 species